rnacentral:rRNA from 1 species
UACGGGGGAUGCAAGCGUUAUCCGGAUUCAUUGGGUUUAAAGGGUGCGCAGGCGGGGAUGUAAGUCAGUGGUGAAAAGCUGCCGCUUAACGGUAGUCUUGCCAAUGAUACUACAUUUCUUGAGUAUGGUUAAGGUAGGCGGAAUGUGCAGUGUAGCGGUGAAAUGCAUAGAGAUUGCACAGAAGGCCGAUUGCGGAGGCAGCUUACUGAGCCAUAACUGACGCUGAGGCACGAAAGCGUGGGGAUCGAACA